GAUGAACGCUGGCAGUGUACCUAAGACAUGCAAGUCGAACGGAACUUUAGAGGAGCUUGCUUUUCUAAGGUUUAGUGGCGAACGGGUGAGUAACACGUGGGCGACCUACCCCCAAGUACGGAAUAACCCCGGGAAACCGGAGCUAAUACCGUAUGUGCUUAUGUCUUCUUUGACAUACGUAAAGAUUUUAUCGCUUGGGGAUGGGCCCGCGGCGCAUCAGCUAGUUGGUAGGGUAACGGCCUACCAAGGCGACGACGCGUAGCCGACCUGAGAGGGUGACCGGCCACAGGGGCACUGAGGACACGGGCCCCAAUCCUACGGGAGGCAAGCAGUUAGGAAUCUUUCGGCCAUGGGCCGAGAGCCUGACCGGAGCGAACAACUGCGUUAAGGGAUGAAGGGUUUCGGAUCGUAAACUUCUUAAC
rnacentral:rRNA from 1 species